CUGUCGCGUCAGGCAGCCGACCUGCCCUUUCUGAAGAAAGAGCAGGUAGGAAAGUCCGGACACGCACAUCGAAAGGUGUAGCACGGUAGCGGGUAACGCCCGUCUCCCGCCCUUUCUGAAGAAAGAGCGGGAAGGGAUGCGAACAGAAACGCCGACGCCGAGAGGCUAGGCAUCCGAAAGGAUGAGUUUUGUGGAAACACAAAAAUGAAACGGCAAAAUUCCUACCUGCGUGCAAGGCCGUGCCCAAGCCGCAGUUUUAUUCAAUUGAUAAAACUGCAGACGGGAGAGCCGCUUGAGUCCGAGAGCAAUCGAGGACCUAGAUACAUGGUUGCCUCGCCCCACGAGAUGCCGCGCAAGCGCUAUCUCACAGGGCAAGACAGAAUCCGGCUUAUCGACGCGGCGAAGCG
rnacentral:RNase_P_RNA from 4 species